rnacentral:rRNA from 1 species
GCUAGCGUUGUUCGGAAUUACUGGGCGUAAAGCGUAUGCAGGCGGACUUUUAAGUCGGGGGUGAAAUCCCGAGGCUCAACCUCGGAACUGCCUUCGAUACUGGAAGUCUUGAGUCCGGGAGAGGUGAGUGGAACUCCGAGUGUAGAGGUGAAAUUCGUAGAUAUUCGGAAGAACACCAGUGGCGAAGGCGGCUCACUGGCCCGGUACUGACGCUGAGAUACGAAAGCGUGGGGAGCAAACAGG